CCUACGGGAGGCAGCAGUAAGGAAUAUUGGUCAAUGGGCGGAAGCCUGAACCAGCCAUGCCGCGUGCAGGAAGACGGCCCUACGGGUUGUAAACUGCUUUUGCAGGGGAAUAAACCUUCGUAUGUAUACGAAGCUGAAUGUACUCUGAGAAUAAGGAUCGGCUAACUCCGUGCCAGCAGCCGCGGUAAUACGGAGGAUCCAAGCGUUAUCCGGAUUUAUUGGGUUUAAAGGGUGCGUAGGCGGCCAAUUAAGUCAGGGGUGAAAGACGGUAGCUUAACUAUCGCAGUGCCUUUGAUACUGAUUGGCUUGAAUGGACUAGAGGUAGGCGGAAUGUGACAAGUAGCGGUGAAAUGCAUAGAUAUGUCACAGAACACCAAUUGCGAAGGCAGCUUACUAUGGUUUAAUUGACGCUGAGGCACGAAAGCGUGGGGAUCAAACAGGAUUAGAUACCCUGGUAGUCCACGCCCUAAACGAUGAACACUCGAUGUUAGCGAUAUACAGUUAGCGUCUAAGCGAAAGCGUUAAGUGUUCCACCUGGGGAGUACGCCCGCAAGGGUGAAACUCAAAGAGUAUACGCGCGNGAGAGACGACGACGACGACGAGGAGGAGGAGG
rnacentral:rRNA from 1 species